AGAUCUAGAUGCCACAGGAUGCAUCCUCCACAUUCUGCAAGGCAGGACCGACACCUUCACCCGUGGCUGGCUGUGGGUCCCUGGCUGCCUUGCGCUGCUAACGAACCCUGGGUGUGCCUCUGUGU
rnacentral:pre_miRNA from 1 species